rnacentral:rRNA from 1 species
CGUCUACGAGUUUGAUCAUGGCUCAGAUUGAACGCUGGCGGCAUGCCUUACACAUGCAAGUCGAACGGUAACGCGGGGCAACCUGGCGACGAGUGGCGAACGGGUGAGUAAAGUAUCGGAACGUGCCCAAUAGUGGGGGAUAGCCCGGCGAAAGCCGGAUUAAUACCGCAUGAGACCUGAGGGUGAAAGCGGGGGACUCGCAAGAGCCUCGCGCUGUUGGAGCGGCCGAUAUCAGAUUAGGUAGUUGGUGGGGUAAAGGCCUACCAAGCCGACGAUCUGUAGCUGGUCUGAGAGGACGACCAGCCACACUGGGACUGAGACACGGCCCAGACUCCUACGGGAGGCAGCAGUGGGGAAUUUUGGACAAUGGGCGCAAGCCUGAUCCAGCCAUGCCGCGUGCGGGAAGAAGGCCUUCGGGUUGUAAACCGCUUUUGUCAGGGAAGAAAUCCUUUGAGCUAAUACCUCGGAGGGAUGACGGUACCUGAAGAAUAAGCACCGGCUAACUACGUG